UACGUAGGGUGCAAGCGUUAUCCGGAAUUAUUGGGCGUAAAGAGCUCGUAGGCGGUUUGUCGCGUCUGCUGUGAAAACUGGAGGCUCAACCUCCAGCCUGCAGUGGGUACGGGCAGACUAGAGUGCGGUAGGGGAGAUUGGAAUUCCUGGUGUAGCGGUGGAAUGCGCAGAUAUCAGGAGGAACACCGGUGGCGAAGGCGGCUAUCUGGACAGAAACUGACGCUGAGGCGCGAAAGCUAGGGGAGCAAACAGG
rnacentral:rRNA from 1 species